ACUCGAGCGGGUAGGGAAACCGCUUGCCAAAAAGUUAGCUUAGAAAGUCUCCUUUCACAUGUAUUAUACUUUUAUUACAUACUUGACUUUAAUGGAGCCAUUGAACCAGGUUUGCACGCGAACAUAAACACAGGGGAGACAAAUCACCGACUGAACCAGUGCUCCCAGGACACUAGCAGAACAUGCUAGCACUACUAGCAUGCUAUGGCUUCCCCAGAGAAGAAGAGCGUUGAUGACUGGCGGCUACGCUUCGUCUUCGGGAACACUGCUGUCGUCAGACCGCCUGAAGACGCUGAGCCCGCUGCGGAUGACUCCGUGCAGACCCUGUGUCUGAGCAGGUCUCAGCUGAAACACGUUCCGGCCGGUGUUCUGAGCAGCAGCGCGCUGCAGUAUCUGUCGCUGGAAGGAAACCAGAUAUUCAGUGUCCCAGGUUCAAUGUUCACCAGCCUGCCCAGACUGAUGUGGCUGGACCUCAGG
rnacentral:lncRNA from 1 species